rnacentral:rRNA from 1 species
AAUAGAUACCCUGGUAGUCCACGCCGUAAACGAUGAGUGCUAAGUGUUAGAGGGUUUCCGCCCUUUAGUGCUGCAGCAAACGCAUUAAGCACUCCGCCUGGGGAGUACGGUCGCAAGACUGAAACUCAAAGGAAUUGACGGGGGCCCGCACAAGCGGUGGAGCAUGAGGUUUAAUUCGAAGCAACGCGAAGAACCUUACCAGGUCUUGACAUCCCGUGACAACUCUAGAGAUAGGGCUUUCCCCUUCGGGGGACACGGUGACAGGUGGUGCAUGGUUGUCGUCAGCUCGUGUCGUGAGAUGUUGGGUUAAGUCCCGCAACGAGCGCAACCCUUGAUCUUAGUUGCCAGCAUUCAGUUGGGCACUCUAAGGUGACUGCCGGUGACAAACCGGAGGAAGGUGGGGAUGACGUCAAAUCAUCAUGCCCCUUAUGACCUGGGCUACACACGUGCUACAAUGGAUGGUACAAAGGGCAGCGAAACCGCGAGGUUAAGCCAAUCCCAUAAAACCAUUCUCAGUUCGGAUUGCAGGCUGCUAACCG